UACAAUUCACCACCUCCACCAUCACCAACUUAUGUGUACAAAUCUCCUCCUCCUCCAACACCAGUUUAUAAAUAUAAAUCACCACCUCCACCAUCACCAACAUAUGUGUACAAGUCUCCUCCUCCUCCAACACCAGUUUACAAGUAUAAGUCACCACCUCCACCAUCACCAACAUAUGUGUACAAGUCUCCUCCUCCUCCAACACCAGUUUACAAGUAUAAGUCACCACCUCCACCAUCACCAACAUAUGUGUACAAGUCUCCUCCUCCUCCAACACCGGUAUACAAACCUCCAUACUACUACAAUUCACCUCCUCCUCCAACACCAGUUUACAAAUACAAAUCACCACCUCCUCCAUCACCAACUUACGUGUACAAGUCUCCUCCUCCACCAACACCAGUAUACAAACCCCCAUACUACUAUAACUCACCUCCUCCUCCAACACCAGUUUACAAGUAUAAUUCACCACCUCCACCAUCACCAACUUACGUGUACAAGUCUCCUCCUCCUCCCGCACCAGUUUAUAAGUACAACUCACCACCUCCUCCAACACCAGUAUACAAAUACAACUCACCACCUCCUCCAUCACCAGUUUACAAGUACAACUCACCACCUCCUCCAUCACCAGUUUACGUCUACAAGUCACCACCCCCACCAACACCUGUAUACAAACCCCCAUACUACUACAACUCACCUCCUCCUCCAACACCAGUGUACAAGUACAAUUCACCACCUCCACCGUCACCAACUUACGUGUACAAGUCACCACCCCCACCAUCACCUGUAUACAAACCCCCAUACUACUACAACUCACCUCCUCCUCCAACACCAGUGUACAAGUACAAUUCACCUCCUCCUCCAACACCGGUGUACAAAUAUAAUUCACCUCCUCCUCCAACUUACUACUACAAUUCGCCACCACCUCCGGUAAAAUCUCCUCCUCCACCAACACCUUACUACUACCAAUCUCCACCACCACCCAAGUACACUCCACCUCCAUACUACUAUAGCUCUCCUCCUCCCCCUGUUGUGUAUCCCCCACAUCCAUAUCACCACUCAUUGAUUGUGAAGGUAGUGGGUAAAGUCUACAGCUACAAGUGCUAUAACUGGGAGUAUCCUGAAAAGUCUCAUGACAAGAAACACCUCAAAGGUAUAUUACAUUCACUUCUUAAUCCUUAUAUUUUAAUCUCUCUUAUCGACAUCAAUAUUUUUUUAUAGUCAAAUUCUUGCUGGUUAGUUUUACAUUUUUAGAUGAGUUUCAUACGCUCUUUAUAUUAAGUUUAGUUAUUCAUUUUUCAAUCAACUACUACAAAGUAUUUUAUCUUCUGCAUGUACCCUUUACAAAUGAGAACUUACAUAUAUUAAUAAAAACUAACUUUUUUUCACUCAUUAAAGUAAAACAACUUAAUUCCUAAAUAACAUGCAAAUUUUGCUUAGUUCCGACUGCAAGAUGUAAUAAAGGAAAUCAAUAUGAUAGAUAAUAUGACUCGAUAUUUGGAAUUGGAUAAUGCUACAUAAUUACUAUGAUCUACAACACGGAUAGCUAAACUUUACCUUUUAGUAAAACCUUGUAAUGUUUAAUUCUGUCAUUACUUAUAUUUGACUUUACUGUGAGGCUUACGAAUUUCAACUGAUUAUGGGAUAGGUGCUGUUGUUGAGGUCAAAUGCAAAGCUGGAAGGAACAUCAUCAAGGCGUACGGUAAAACUAAGAACAAUGGAAAGUACGCCAUCACAAUUCCAAACUUUAACUAUGUGAAAUAUGGUCCCACAGUGUGCAAAGCCAAACUACAUGCUCCACCUAAAGGCUCUCCAUUCAACAUCCCAACUAAGCUCAAUGAGGGAACCGACUUGUGGGUAAAAUCUAAAGACAAGUAUGAAGUUGUGCUCAAGGCAAAGCCAUUCGCCUAUGCUUCUAAGAAGCAUUAUGAAGAAUGUGAAAAGCCUAAGCCUUCACCAACUCCUUACUACUACAAGUCACCUCCUCCUCCUACACCAACUUACAUAUACAAGUCACCACCCCCACCAUCACCAACUUAUGUGUACAAGUCACCACCUCCACCAUCACCUAUAUACAAACCCCCAUAUUACUACAACUCACCUCCUCCUCCAACACCAGUUUACAAGUACAAUUCACCACCUCCACCAUCACCAACUUACGUGUACAAGUCACCACCUCCACCAUCACCUGCAUACAAACCCCCAUACUACUAUAACUCACCUCCUCCUCCAACACCGGUUUACAAGUACAACUCACCACCUCCACCGUCACCAACAUACGUGUAUAAAUCACCACCACCACCAUCACCUAUAUACAAACCCCCGUACUACUACAAUUCACCUCCUCCUCCAACACCAGUUUACAAGUACAAUUCACCACCUCCACCAUCACCAACUUAUGUGUACAAGUCACCACCCCCACCAUCACCGGUAUACAAACCCCCGUACUACUACAACUCACCUCCUCCCCCAACACCAGUUUACAAAUACAACUCACCUCCUCCACCGUCACCAACAUACGUGUACAAGUCACCACCCCCACAUCACCGGUAUACAAACCCCCGUACUACUACAACUCACCUCCUCCCCCAACACCAGUUUACAAAUACAACUCACCUCCUCCACCGUCACCAACAUACGUGUACAAGUCACCACCCCCACCAUCACCUGUGUACAAACCCCCAUACUACUACAACUCACCUCCUCCUCCAACCCCAGUUUACAAGUACAAUUCACCACCCCCACCGUCACCAACAUAUGUCUACAAGUCUCCACCCCCGCCAUCACCUGCGUACAAACCCCCAUACUAUUACAACUCACCUCCUCCACCAACGCCUGUUUAUAAGUACAAUUCUCCACCUCCACCGUCACCAACUUAUGUGUACAAGUCACCACCCCCACCAUCACCUGUAUACAAACCCCCAUACUACUAUAACUCGCCUCCUCCUCCAACACCAGUUUACAAAUACAGUUCACCUCCUCCUCCAACACCGGUUUAUAAGUACAAUUCACCUCCUCCACCAUCACCAACUUACGUGUACAAGUCACCACCCCCACCAUCACCGGUAUACAAACCCCCAUACUACUACAAUUCACCUCCUCCACCAUCACCAACUUACAAGUACAAUUCACCACCUCCGCCAUCACCAACUUAUGUGUAUAAGUCACCACCUCCACCAUCACCAACUUAUGUGUAUAAGUCACCACCUCCACCAUCACCUGUGUACAAACCCCCGUACUACUACAACUCACCUCCUCCUCCAACACCAGUUUACAAGUACAAUUCACCUCCUCCACCAACACCAGUUUACAAGUACAAUUCACCUCCUCCACCAACACCUAUAUACAAACCUCCAUACUACUACAAUUCACCUCCUCCUCCAACCCCAGUUUACAAGUACAACUCACCUCCUCCUCCAACACCGGUUUACAAAUACAACUCCCCUCCUCCUCCAACACCGGUUUACAAGUACAACUCCCCUCCUCCUCCUCCAAAACACCGGUUUAUCAAGACAACUCACUCCUCCUCCAACACCGGUUUACAAAUACAAUCACCCCUCCUCACCAUCAUCCGUGAUUUACAAGACAACUCACCUCCUCCUCCAUCACCUGUUACAAGUACAACUCACCCCUCCUCCUACACCGGUUUACAAGACAACACCCUCCCCUCCUCCUCUCAACCACCGUUACAAAUACAAACUCCCCUCCUCCUCCAUCACCGGUUUACAAGUACAACUCCCCUCCUCCUCCAUCACCGGUUUACAAGUACAACUCCCCCCCUCCUCCAACACCGGUUUACAAGUACAACUCCCCUCCUCCUCCAACACCGGUUUACAAGUACAACUCCCCACCUCCUCCAACACCGGUUUACAAGUACAAGUCACCACCUCCACCGUCACCAACUUACGAGUACAAAUCUCCUCCUC
rnacentral:lncRNA from 1 species